AGGCUCAGGACGAACGCUGGCGGCGUGCCUAAUACAUGCAAGUCGAACGAACUCUGGUAUUGAUUGGUGCUUGCAUCAUGAUUUACAUUUGAGUGAGUGGCGAACUGGUGAGUAACACGUGGGAAACCUGCCCAGAAGCGGGGGAUAACACCUGGAAACAGAUGCUAAUACCGCAUAACAACUUGGACCGCAUGGUCCGAGCUUGAAAGAUGGCUUCGGCUAUCACUUUUGGAUGGUCCCGCGGCGUAUUAGCUAGAUGGUGGGGUAACGGCUCACCAUGGCAAUGAUACGUAGCCGACCUGAGAGGGUAAUCGGCCACAUUGGGACUGAGACACGGCCCAAACUCCUACGGGAGGCAGCAGUAGGGAAUCUUCCACAAUGGACGAAAGUCUGAUGGAGCAACGCCGCGUGAGUGAAGAAGGGUUUCGGCUCGUAAAACUCUGUUGUUAAAGAAGAACAUAUCUGAGAGUAACUGUUCAGGUAUUGACGGUAUUUAACCAGAAAGCCACGGCUAACUACGUGCCAGCAGCCGCGGUAAUACGUAGGUGGCAAGCGUUGUCCGGAUUUAUUGGGCGUAAAGCGAGCGCAGGCGGUUUUUUAAGUCUGAUGUGAAAGCCUUCGGCUCAACCGAAGAAGUGCAUCGGAAACUGGGAAACUUGAGUGCAGAAGAGGACAGUGGAACUCCAUGUGUAGCGGUGAAAUGCGUAGAUAUAUGGAAGAACACCAGUGGCGAAGGCGGCUGUCUGGUCUGUAACUGACGCUGAGGCUCGAAAGUAUGGGUAGCAAACAGGAUUAGAUACCCUGGUAGUCCAUACCGUAAACGAUGAAUGCUAAGUGUUGGAGGGUUUCCGCCCUUCAGUGCUGCAGCUAACGCAUUAAGCAUUCCGCCUGGGGAGUACGGCCGCAAGGCUGAAACUCAAAGGAAUUGACGGGGGCCCGCACAAGCGGUGGAGCAUGUGGUUUAAUUCGAAGCUACGCGAAGAACCUUACCAGGUCUUGACAUACUAUGCAAAUCUAAGAGAUUAGACGUUCCCUUCGGGGACAUGGAUACAGGUGGUGCAUGGUUGUCGUCAGCUCGUGUCGUGAGAUGUUGGGUUAAGUCCCGCAACGAGCGCAACCCUUAUUAUCAGUUGCCAGCAUUAAGUUGGGCACUCUGGUGAGACUGCCGGUGACAAACCGGAGGAAGGUGGGGAUGACGUCAAAUCAUCAUGCCCCUUAUGACCUGGGCUACACACGUGCUACAAUGGAUGGUACAACGAGUUGCGAACUCGCGAGAGUAAGCUAAUCUCUUAAAGCCAUUCUCAGUUCGGAUUGUAGGCUGCAACUCGCCUACAUGAAGUCGGAAUCGCUAGUAAUCGCGGAUCAGCAUGCCGCGGUGAAUACGUUCCCGGGCCUUGUACACACCGCCCGUCACACCAUGAGAGUUUGUAACACCCAAAGUCGGUGGGGUAACCUUUUAGGAACCAGCCGCCUAAGGUGGGACAGAUGAUUAGGGA
rnacentral:rRNA from 1 species